AGUACGUGAAACCGUUCAGGGGUAAACCUGAGAAACCCAAAAGAUCGAAUGGGGAGAUUCAUCGUCAGCGCGUUUUGUAUAUGUAUGAGUUAUGAUGCANNGGUUACUCUUNNGUAGUAUUGCUNUGUACAUACUUGUACAUUUAUUUGCAAGAUGUUGUCGGCGUGCACUUCUCCCCUAGUAGGACGUCGCGACCCGUUGGGUGUCGAUCUACGACCCAAGNUGGUAGCCUUUAGUGUUNNUAANNCAACAUUAAAGACCCUUGGUGUUNUUCUGACCGGCUGCCCGGCGGUACUCGUACGGUAUUUAGCCGCAUNUUU
rnacentral:rRNA from 1 species